UACGUAGGGUGCAAGCGUUGUCCGGAAUUAUUGGGCGUAAAGAGCUCGUAGGCGGUCUGUCGCGUCUGCUGUGAAAACCUAGGGCUUAACUCUGGGCGUGCAGUGGGUACGGGCAGGCUAGAGUGCGGUAGGGGAGACGUGGAAUUCCUGGUGUAGCGGUGAAAUGCGCAGAUAUCAGGAGGAACACCGGUGGCGAAGGCGGGUCUCUGGGCCGGUACUGACGCUGAGACGCGAAAGCGUGGGGAGCGAACAGG
rnacentral:rRNA from 1 species